rnacentral:rRNA from 1 species
GGGUUGUGAGGUUAAGCGACUAAGCGUACAUGGUGGAUGCCCUGGCAGUCAGAGGCGAUGAAGGGCGUGCUAAUCUGCGAUAAGCGCCGGUAAGGUGAUAUGAACCGUUAUAACCGGCGAUACCCGAAUGGGGAAACCCAGUGUGACUCGUCACACUAUCAUUAACUGAAUCCAUAGGUUAAUGAGGCGAACCGGGGGAACUGAAACAUCUAAGUACCCCGAGGAAAAGAAAUCAACCGAGAUUCCCCCAGUAGCGGCGAGCGAACGGGGAGGAGCCCAGAGCCUGAAUCAGCAUGUGUGUUAGUGGAAGCGUCUGGAAAGGCGCGCGAUACAGGGUGACAGCCCCGUACACAAAAGCGCAUGUGCUGUGAGCUCGAUGAGUAGGGCGGGACACGUGGUAUCCUGUCUGAAUAUGGGGGGACCAUCCUCCAAGGCUAAAUACUCCUGACUGACCGAUAGUGAACCAGUACCGUGAGGGAAAGGCGAAAAGAACCCCGGCGAGGGGAGUGAAAAAGAACCUGAAACCGUGUACGUACAAGCAGUGGGAGCCCCACCACCAAAGCAUUCUCUGGUGUUGAAGGCCCUGCAAAGCAGCAUCGCGGUGGCGGAGCGUCGUUUGCGACGCCCAACACACAAAACAAGCGGUGAGUGCUUUGGGGUGGGGUGACUGCGUACCUUUUGUAUAAUGGGUCAGCGACUUAUAUUCUGUAGCAAGGUUAACCGAAUAGGGGAGCCGGAGGGAAACCGAGUCUUAAUUGGGCGUUAAGUUGCAGGGUAUAGACCCGAAACCCGGUGAUCUAGCCAUGGGCAGGUUGAAGGUUGGGUAACACUAACUGGAGGACCGAACCGACUAAUGUUGAAAAAUUAGCGGAUGACCUGUGGCUGGGGGUGAAAGGCCAAUCAAACCGGGAGAUAGCUGGUUCUCCCCGAAAGCUAUUUAGGUAGCGCCUCGUGAAUUCAUCUCCGGGGGUAGAGCACUGUUUCGGCUAGGGGGCCAUCCCGGCUUACCAACCCGAUGCAAACUGCGAAUACCGGAGAAUGUUAUCACGGGAGACACACGGCGGGUGCUAACGUCCGUCGUGAAGAGGGAAACAACCCAGACCGCCAGCUAAGGUCCCAAAGUCAUGGUUAAGUGGGAAACGAUGUGGGAAGGCCCAGACAGCCAGGAUGUUGGCUUAGAAGCAGCCAUCAUUUAAAGAAAGCGUAAUAGCUCACUGGUCGAGUCGGCCUGCGCGGAAGAUGUAACGGGGCUAAACCAUGCACCGAAGCUGCGGCAGCGACGCUGAUGCGUUGUUGGGUAGGGGAGCGUUCUGUAAGCCUGUGAAGGUGUGCUGUGAGGCAUGCUGGAGGUAUCAGAAGUGCGAAUGCUGACAUAAGUAACGAUAAAGCGGGUGAAAAGCCCGCUCGCCGGAAGACCAAGGGUUCCUGUCCAACGUUAAUCGGGGCAGGGUGAGUCGACCCCUAAGGCGAGGCCGAAAGGCGUAGUCGAUGGGAAACGGGUUAAUAUUCCCGUACUUGGUGUUACUGCGAAGGGGGACGGAGAAGGCUAUGUUGGCCGGGCGACGGUUGUCCCGGUUUAAGCGUGUAGGUGUGUGUUCCAGGUAAAUCCGGUUCACUUUAACACUGAGGCGUGACGACGAGGCACUACGGUGCUGAAGCAACAAAUGCCCUGCUUCCAGGAAAAGCCUCUAAGCAUCAGGUAACACGAAAUCGUACCCCAAACCGACACAGGUGGUCAGGUAGAGAAUACCAAGGCGCUUGAGAGAACUCGGGUGAAGGAACUAGGCAAAAUGGUGCCGUAACUUCGGGAGAAGGCACGCUGACACGUAGGUGAAGUGAUUUACUCAUGGAGCUGAAGUCAGUCGAAGAUACCAGCUGGCUGCAACUGUUUAUUAAAAACACAGCACUGUGCAAACACGAAAGUGGACGUAUACGGUGUGACGCCUGCCCGGUGCCGGAAGGUUAAUUGAUGGGGUCAGCGCAAGCGAAGCUCCUGAUCGAAGCCCCGGUAAACGGCGGCCGUAACUAUAACGGUCCUAAGGUAGCGAAAUUCCUUGUCGGGUAAGUUCCGACCUGCACGAAUGGCGUAAUGAUGGCCAGGCUGUCUCCACCCGAGACUCAGUGAAAUUGAACUCGCUGUGAAGAUGCAGUGUACCCGCGGCAAGACGGAAAGACCCCGUGAACCUUUACUAUAGCUUGACACUGAACAUUGAGCCUUGAUGUGUAGGAUAGGUGGGAGGCUUUGAAGUGUGGACGCCAGUCUGCAUGGAGCCGGCCUUGAAAUACCACCCUUUAAUGUUUGAUGUUCUAACGUGGACCCGUGAUCCGGGUUGCGGACAGUGUCUGGUGGGUAGUUUGACUGGGGCGGUCUCCUCCUAAAGAGUAACGGAGGAGCACGAAGGUUGGCUAAUCCUGGUCGGACAUCAGGAGGUUAGUGCAAUGGCAUAAGCCAGCUUGACUGCGAGCGUGACGGCGCGAGCAGGUGCGAAAGCAGGUCAUAGUGAUCCGGUGGUUCUGAAUGGAAGGGCCAUCGCUCAACGGAUAAAAGGUACUCCGGGGAUAACAGGCUGAUACCGCCCAAGAGUUCAUAUCGACGGCGGUGUUUGGCACCUCGAUGUCGGCUCAUCACAUCCUGGGGCUGAAGUAGGUCCCAAGGGUAUGGCUGUUCGCCAUUUAAAGUGGUACGCGAGCUGGGUUUAGAACGUCGUGAGACAGUUCGGUCCCUAUCUGCCGUGGGCGCUGGAGAACUGAGGGGGGCUGCUCCUAGUACGAGAGGACCGGAGUGGACGCAUCACUGGUGUUCGGGUUGUCAUGCCAAUGGCACUGCCCGGUAGCUAAAUGCGGAAGAGAUAAGUGCUGAAAGCAUCUAAGCACGAAACUUGCCCCGAGAUGAGUUCUCCCUGAGACUUAGAGUCUCCUGAAGGAACGUUGAAGACGACGACGUUGAUAGGCCGGGUGUGUAAGCGCAGCGAUGCGUUGAGCUAACCGGUACUAAUGAACCGUGAGGCUUAACCUUACAACGCCGAAG